GCCUGGGUGGUGAAAUGGUAUACACAGCGGACUUAAACUCCGCCGCCGCUAAAACGGCAUACGGGUUCGAGUCCCGUCCCAGGCA
rnacentral:tRNA from 1 species